rnacentral:rRNA from 1 species
GACGAACGCUGGCGGCGUGCUUAACACAUGCAAGUCGAACGGAAAGGCCCCUUUGGGGGUACUCGAGUGGCGAACGGGUGAGUAACACGUGAGUAACCUGCCCUUGACUUCGGGAUAACUUCAGGAAACUGGGGCUAAUACCGGAUAGGAAUCUUUGCGGAUUGGGGGGGGUUGGAAAGCUUCGGCGGUUUUGGAUGGACUCGCGGCUUAUCAGCUUGUUGGUGGGGUAGUGGCUUACCAAGGCUUUGACGGGUAGCCGGCCUGAGAGGGCGACCGGCCACAUUGGGACUGAGAUACGGCCCAGACUCCUACGGGAGGCAGCAGUGGGGAAUAUUGCACAAUGGGCGGAAGCCUGAUGCAGCAACGCCGCGUGCGGGAUGACGGCCUUCGGGUUGUAAACCGCUUUCAGCAGGGGCGAAGCUUGUGGUGACGGUACCUGCAGAAGAAGCACCGGCUAACUACGUG